GAACGAAUUACUACUUAAUCGUAACUGUUGUGGCGUGAUGCUUGAUUGUGAACCUAAUAACAUAGAAAUACUUAUUGGAUUAUACCUUCGAUGUCAUUCUGUGAUUUAUUUUAGUAUGUUAAUACCCCUCAUGAUGUUUAUUUUUUGCGAAUGUGUGCAUUUGGCCGGAAAACAAUCUGACAUUCCACCUUGAGAUGUUAUUUGAGAGUUGUUCCGUCCUUAAAUGUAAAGCAAGGAUUUAAAACAGUGUGAGAAAAGGUUAACAUUGUCGCCUAUGGGAAAUGUAUUGGUGGACUGUAUACCCCAUAUAUAUUGAGUACGUCUAUUGGUUCAUGGUGAUACAGGAAAACUUCAAGGUUCCUGCAGAUGGUGUUUAAAACUAUUGGCCAGUGAACACAAACCCAUUUAAUUAUAUUUUGAACCUUCACCAGGAGAAAAAAGAUGGCAGUACUUCUAAUGCAAGCAGCUACUAGGGAAGAUUUAAUGAAGGAAGAUGAGGAAGUGGAGAAAAAGCUGAAGAACAAGGAGGACAAGGUGAAGAAAGGACAAGGGCACAGUGACUUGCAGUGUGUGUCAUGUAACAUUAUUACAACAUCUAUAUCAUGGGUCCAUAAUUUUGAGUAAGUCAUUCAUCAACCACUUUAUCUGUACUGGAAACCAUUUCUGAGAGGGAUGAAGUGAUGGAAGAUAAUGAGCCAGAGGGUGGAACGGAAGAGAAAGGGAAAGAAAUAAAGAAAAAGGCAGAAUGAAAAAGGACUAGAACUUGCAAUAGAAGAAAAAUUUGAGGAAAUGAAGAGGAAGAAAUUGAAGAUGAAAAGAAGAGCUCUGGGAGGAAAAAAUUCCAUUUGUAAGAUGUGUGGACAAAAGAAAAACAGCCAUAGAGUGCCAAUGUGGAGUGGAAUAAGUCAGUAUGACUUAAACAUGGUCAAUUGAAGUGUUUAAAUGCCCCUCCAGAAAGCAGAACAAUCUUUGAAUUUGCAGGAAAGAGUAUAAAAUUUGCUGUUAAAAUAUCAUAACAGCUAGACAAAGAUUAAAUAACAACUACAUGUACAUCUAAAGAAUUCUUUUGUCAUAAUAGUGAUUCAUGUGCUAGUACAUGUGACAAGUGCUAUAACGACCUAAUAUAAGUGUGUUUUAGGAGCAUGUUGACUCUAUUGUAAAUGUAUUGACUCCUUAUAUGACCUCAUUUAUAUAUAACAUUAUAUGAAUGGUAGUGUAGUGACUUGAAAUGUGUGUUAGUAGUAUAGCUCGUUAUGUGUGGUAAUUUUGUUAUUUGUUUUACAUGUAUGAUAGUACAUAUAGUAUGGUGACUCAUGUGUUGGGAAUUAAUGUAUAAUUUUAUGUGUGUUACUGGUAUAACUCAUAAUGUGUGUAAAUAUUGUUUUUUGUAAUAUAUAUUAGUAGUGUAGUGACUCGACAUGUGUGUAAGUAGUGUAGUGACUCGACAUGUGUGUUAUGAGUGUAGCUUAUGAUGUGUGGUUAUUUUGUGUACGUAUGUAGUAUGGUGACUCAUGUGUUAGGAAUGUAUAAUUUUAUGUAUGUUACUGAUAUGCCUCAUCGUGUGAUUUAAAAUGGUUAUUUGUAAUGUAUAUAUUAGUAGUAAAGUGACUCGACAUGUGUGUUAGUAGUGUAGUGACUCGACAUGUGUGUUAGUAGUGUAGCUUAUUAUGUGUGGUAAUUUUGUUAUUUGUUAUGUGAGUUGUACAUGUAGUAUGGUGACUCAUGUGUUGGGAAUGUAUAAUUUUAUGUGUGUUACUUGUAUAACUCAUUGUGUGUGUUUUAAUAUAGUUAUUUGUAGUGUAUAUAUUAGUAUUGUAGUGACUCCACAAGUAUGUUAGUGUGUAGUGACAUGACAUGUGUGUUAGUAGUGUAGUGACUCGACAUGUGUGUUUGAAGUGUAGCUUAUUAUAUGUGGUAUUUUUGUUAUUUGUUAUGGUUGUUGUAUAUGUAGUACGGCAACUCAUGUGUUGGGAAAGUAUAUUUUAAUUUGAUGUGUGUUACUGGUAUAGCUCAUUGUGUGUUUUAAUAA